rnacentral:rRNA from 1 species
CCUACGGGGGGCUGCAGUGGGGAAUAUUGGACAAUGGGCGAAAGCCUGAUCCAGCCAUGCCGCGUGUGUGAAGAAGGCCUUCGGGUUGUAAAGCACUUUCAGUGGGGAAGAAAGCCUUGGGGCUAAUACCCUCGAGGAAGGACAUCACCCACAGAAGAAGCACCGGCUAACUCCGUGCCAGCAGCCGCGGUAAUACGGAGGGUGCGAGCGUUAAUCGGAAUUACUGGGCGUAAAGCGCGCGUAGGCGGUCUGAUAAGCCGGUUGUGAAAGCCCCGGGCUCAACCUGGGAACGGCAUCCGGAACUGUCAGGCUAGAGUGCAGGAGAGGAAGGUAGAAUUCCCGGUGUAGCGGUGAAAUGCGUAGAGAUCGGGAGGAAUACCAGUGGCGAAGGCGGCCUUCUGGACUGACACUGACGCUGAGGUGCGAAAGCGUGGGUAGCAAACAGGAUUAGAUACCCUAGUAGU